AUCAACUUUCGAUGGUAGGAUAGAGACCUACCAUGGUGGUAACGGAUAACGGGGUGUUAGGGCACGACACCGGAGAGGGAGCCUGAGAAACGGCUACCACAUCCAAGGACGGCAGCAGGCGCGCAAAUUACCCAAUCCCGACACGGGGAGGUAGUGACAAUAAAUAACAAUACGGGGCUCUUUCGGGUCUCGUAAUUGGAAUGAGUACAAUUUAAAUCCCUUAACGAGGAACAAUUGGAGGGCAAGUCUGGUGCCAGCAGCCGCGGUAAUUCCAGCUCCAAUAGCGUAUAUUAAAGUUGUUGCAGUUAAAAAGCUCGUAGUUGAAUUUCGGGAUUGGCGCAUCGGUCGUGCCUCACGGGGUAUGAACUGGUGCAGUCAAUUUCUCACCUUCUGGAGAACCGCGAUGUCCUUAAUUGGAUGCCGCGGGGAACCAGGACCUUUACUUUGAAAAAAUUAGAGUGUUUAAAGCAGGCAUUUUUGCUUGAAUACAUUAGCAUGGAAUAAUAAAAUAGGACGGCAUGGUUCUAUUUUGUUGGUUUCUAGGACCACCGUAAUGAUUAAUAGGGAUAGUUGGGGGCAUUAGUAUUCAAUUGUCAGAGGUGAAAUUCUUGGAUUUAUUGAAGACUAACUACUGCGAAAGCAUUUGCCAAGGAUGUUUUCAUUAAUCAAGAACGAAAGUUAGGGGAUCGAAGACGAUCAGAUACCGUCGUAGUCUUAACCAUAAACUAUGCCGACUAGGAAUCAGACGAUGUUAAUUUUUUAAUGACUCGUUUGGCACCUUACGGGAAACCAAAGUGUUUGGGUUC
rnacentral:rRNA from 1 species